AAUAAAGCUUAAAAGUUARGCGUUCCGUUUACACUGGGRAGGUUUCUGUGCRAUUCAGACUGUUUUGAGGG
rnacentral:tRNA from 1 species